rnacentral:tRNA from 1 species
GGGAAUGUGGCUUAGUGGUAGAGCACUUGCCUAGCAUGCACUAGGACCCGAGUUCCAUCCUCAGUACUUCCA